AGGGGAGGCCGGCUUCAAAGCCUCUCUCAGCCUGUGGAAAAGCGCAGUCUGGAGUGGGGUGGCUGCCAAGUCUGCUGCAUGAAUGUUCAUUUUACUUGGCUUGUGGUCAAACAACAGCAAAAAACCAGGUUAGGGGGUGACGAGGGAGUUAAACGAAAGGCUCUGGCAUCAGCACAGAAAGAACAGUGAAGAUUUACUAAGCUGGCCUUGGAGGGAUGUGUGAGCUGCCCGCAGAAGUUUCAAAGCCACUGGAUGAAAUGAAGGGUGAAAGAUAUUUUUACAAACAGGCAUAGUUAUCCCAUCUUGCUGUAACCCUCCCUCUGUGAGUUUUUUCUCUCUGGGGAGAUGUUAACGGGGCAGGAUUCCAGUUUAGAGGAGAAGGGGAGUCCUCGGCAGCAGCCUGCUCUGUCCUGGAUCGGCCAAGUGGAUUCCUCUGUGGGAGAGAGAGGAGUCCAGUUUCUAUGACGAUCCACAGCUGCUCUGCCAAGACUGCCAGCCGAGGUCCCUGGCGGUGCUAAUUGCUAUGCGGACAUCCGUUCAUUAGACUUUGACCUAGAAUUACCAUCAUCUUUCACAAG
rnacentral:lncRNA from 1 species